AAGGGUCUCUAGCAUUAGUCUGAUCUGAAGCAGCUGAGGGAGUUGGUGGUGCAGAGCCUGGAAAAAGGAGGCUCACAAGGUUCCUUGUCACUCACUUCAACUGCCUGAGAGGGGAGUGUAUCCAGAUGGUCUCUUCUUCCAGGUAACAGCCUGAAGAUAAGAGGUAACGCCUCAAAUUGUGGCAGGAGAGAUUUAGGCUGGAUAUUGAGAAAAAUUUCAUAGCCAGAAAAGUUGCCAAGUGUUAGAAUAGGUUUACCAGGGAAGUGGUGGAGUCACUGUCCCUGGAUCUGAAGAUGUGCCAUUGAAGAACUUGGUUGAGUAAUGGAUUUGGCAGUGCUGGCUUAACAGUUGGAUUUGGUGAUCCUAAAGGUCUUUCCAUUCUUUGGCUCUAUGACUUAAAGACACAGUUUUGUCCUGAAAAGGCAACAAAAGGGUUUUUCAAUGAAAAUACAAGUGAAGAGAAUUACUUCUGCCUGAAGAUACUAUGUGCUUCACUUUAACUUAAUGUUUUGCUGUUACAAAUCAACAUGAGAAAGAAAGGCAAGAAGCAUCUGUUUGCUGUGACGUGGUUAAACAUCAUUUUCCUGUGAGAAGCUUUACCAUAAGUGGGAGCUGCCUCCAGAUAACUUCUGCAUGCUGACUACUCCUCUCUCAGAUACGACUUAUCUUUUCUAUAAUUCUGUACAAAGACUCCUGACAUGUAUCCUUUGGAAGUCUGUACAGAGGAAUGAAGGAAAAGCCCAGGUAUUCACUUUGGCUUUUGCUGAGAGACCUUCCCUUCUGUUUGAACCUCAUUUGAACAGCUGAGAAGACCAACUGCAAAAGUAGGUACUGUUUCAAUCAGAACCUCUGAUUUUAAAAUGUUUCACUUCUCGGAUAGAGAAACUCUAAGAAAGGAUAUCAUCAACACACGGGCAAGUUACAGCUUGGGAGACUUGCAGAGUUCUUUCACUUGUGCCUGAAAAAGGGCAGAGCAGCUAUGGACUGACAACCCACAGAAGAGCCUUCCCACAGGACUCAUAAAAAUGUGAUGGCUGGAAAAAAAGGACAGGAUCUGCCAGUGGAGAAGGAGGUCUGUGAACGUUUCAUCUGAAGAGGGUCCAUGUCAUCAAAUUGCUUUCUGGUUUACCCUCUUGAAAGAAUUUCACAGAGGAAGAGCACAGAACUUCAUGUGAUAAGAGUUAACCUAGCAAAGAACAAGGAUUUUUUGGUAUCAAGCCUGAGCUCCUUCAUUAGCAACUUGCUUUCUUUCCCAGACUGAAAAUGUACUAAGUUCCUUCCAAAUAAAUGAGUUUUUCUUGCAAAAACAUCAGCCUGCAUUCUAAAACCAUUGCCCUAACAAUGCUGCUUUGCAGGAUGCACAGCUCAAAUCUUGACAAUCUGAGAUGCUGACAGAAAUGCUAGGACUAAUGGAUGUGGGACGCGUCCAGGAUUAAUUUGCCCAGCUCAAGAUUCAGGGAAAGAUGCUGCUAAAUCCCAUUUGCAGUGUUGUGGUUCAAGGCUAAGGUAUCACAGGCGCUUUUGAAAGCUGAAUGUCAAUGUACCUGUAACUGCUAAGUGAUACUCCUAUAAUAUACUAUAAAAUCUGAAAGCCAUUGAUUUGGAGGAAGAAAAUGUCACCUGGAACUCAUUAUAAAUAUUACACUGCUGUGGAAAAAAGGGCUUCCUAAGCUCAUAUUCUGAGAGAACAGAAUGUUUUUGUGCUCUGUGCCAGCUUUGAUAGUGGAGCCCUGGAAAAAGUUAAAGAUAGAAUCUAAAAUGUUAAGCUUUGUACUUUCCCAGAUCAACUGCACCUGCGUAAGCAGUAUGAUAAAUUAUAUAAUUGUUGGAUGUGAUAAUUGUUUAGUAAUUAAAUAUAAUUAUUAUAUAACCAUGAGAAGAAUAAUGAGAAACUAUGUUGGAAAUUCAGAGAGGGGCUAAAUCUAUGUAUACAAUAGAACAACAUAAGUUUAAUAAUUAACAUGAAAGUUAUAUAACAAUAGAGUAUAAAAACAUGAUCAUUUUGGAUGUAUGCUCGGAGUCAGAUUUGGGUUGAAUAUACCCCUGGCACCCAGAGCUCUUUAAUAAAAAGCACCGCAUAUAAUCCCUCCGUGAUUAUGUGGUUUUGAACACCAACAGCUUGAGCUGGUAGGACUUGCCUCACUACAAAGCAAUUUCCAGUCACUGCCAGAGAAUAUUGUCAUUGUACACUACACUUCUGUCUGUUCUUCCCUCUGCUUGGCAUUUUUUUAUUUUGAGGAAAGGACAUGGAAUGAGAACAGACCUAGAUGUGGCACAUCUGUGUUUUGCAUUGUGGAAAUUCUCCACUGAGAGCAAAAACAAGACUGCAGCAUUUUGCAGCAGCUGAGAAAAAGAAUUUCUAAGUACUUGUUUCUGGACACAAACCUAGGUUCAUCAUAUCUUUCUUUAGCCUAAGACCAACGCGUAUUUUCUCACUUUCCAGUCAGAAAAAAUAGGUAUGUGAACAUAUGGAAAAUAUCCCAAAAUUCUGCCAAGCUAAGUGGUGAUUCCCUGUUCAAGCACUUCAGACUCAGAUUUGUCUCUUCCUCUGUAAUUCUGUAAUUAGAGAAUAUUUACAUCUUGUGACUUACAGUACUUUACAAAUGUUUGUUUACACAUAUACUUUUUCUUCCUUUCACAUAUUACCUUCUUUCAUUUAGGGCUAAACGAAUGAUUUCAAAACAAAAUAUUUGUUUUGCUCUAAUGUUAAAGUUCACAGUCUGUGAUAUUUACUUUCCAUAGUAUUUCUCUGAACUAUAAAAAUAACGGUGUUCUUAGUUUCUAUCAAAAAUAGCUAUUUUUGGGUUUUGUGACAUAAUUUUCUUUAAAGAGGACUAAAAAAUAAAGUUG